GCACCUUCUUCGCCACCACCGGCUCCAGAGGAAUCAACAAGUAGUGGGUGGAGUGACAAGAUGAUAGCUUGCUUAGUAGUGGGCUGCGUCGGAUCCUCUGUUUUGUUGCUAACCAUUGGCUUCUUUCUUCUCAGAUACUACAAGUGCAAAGGAUGCCGAGUCCAUGAUUCAGGGCCGUUGGAUGAGACCGGAGCACCCCUCGAGCAGGGUACAAGACAACAACAGCAGCAGCACCCACAAAUAGAACAAGCAGCACCACCGGUCUUAGAGAAGCGUCUUAGCCAAUUGGCCAGCAUGGGAAAUGCAAGUCAUUUAGAGGAAUUCUCAUUGCAACUCCUACUUGAAGCCACCAACAACUUCUCCGAGGAUCACAAAGUUGGAGAAGGAAGCUUCGGCUCAGUCUAUCGCUGCACAUUAGGCGAUGGACGAGAAGUAGCAAUCAAACGAGCAGAAACAUCGAGCACUAGUUCCUACGCUGUAGAAUCCAGGCGUCAAGAAGAAAAGGAUAAUGCAUUCAUUAACGAACUCGAAACCUUAUCCCGUCUCCAUCACAAGAAUCUCGUCAGAUUACUAGGCUUCUGCGAAGAUUGUAACGAGAGGGUAUUAGUCUACGAGUACCUCAGCAAUGGCACACUCCAUAAUCAUCUCCACAAGCUCCAAAACUCCCCAUUAAUGUCAUGGCCCAAACGAAUCAAAGUAGCACUUGACGCAGCCAGGGGAAUUGAGUACCUCCACGAGUACGCAGUACCACCGAUCAUUCACAGAGACAUCAAAUCAUCAAACAUACUGCUAGACUCAUCCUGGACAGCCAAGGUCUCCGAUUUUGGACUGUCUCUGAUGGGUCCCGAAGACGAAGAAUCCCACCUGUCGCUCAGCGCCGCAGGCACAGUAGGAUACAUGGACCCAGAAUACUACAGACUUCAACUGCUGACAACAAAGAGCGAUGUAUACAGCUUCGGGGUAGUGUUGCUAGAGCUAUUAUCAGGAAUGAAGGCAAUACACAAGAAUGAGAAUGGAGUGCCAAGAAAUGUGGUGGAUUUUGCAGUACCAUAUAUUGAACAAGAUGAAAUACACAGAGUCUUGG
rnacentral:misc_RNA from 1 species